CCCGCGACAAGCAGCGGAGCGUGUGGUUAAUUCGAUGAUACGCGAAGAACCUUACCUGGUCUUGACAUGCACGUGGUACUGAUUCGAAAGAUGAGGGACCCUUCGGGGAGCGUGCACAGGUGUUGCACGGCCGUCGUCAGCUCGUGCCGUGAGGUGUUGGGUUUAAGUCUCGCAACGAGCGCAACCCCCGUCGCCAGUUGUAUUUUUCUGGCGAGACUGCCGGGAAAUCCCCGGAGGAAGGAGGGGAUGAUGUCAGGUCAGCGUGGCCCUUACGACCAGGGCUACACACACGCUACAAUGGGUGGUACAGAGGUCGCGAAGCCGCGAGGUGGAGCUAAGUCCCACAAAGCCAUCCUCAGUUCGGAUUGCAGGCUGAAACUCGCCUGCAUGAAGCCGGAGUUGCUAGUAACCGCAGGUCAGCACUACUGCGGUGAAUACGUUCCCGGGCCUU
rnacentral:rRNA from 1 species